UCAGGAGACUGAGUGAGGAAGAUUUGCCUUCCCCAGUGUAGAUGGCCAUCAUCCAACCACUUUAGGGCCCUGAUACAACAAAAAGGCCGAGGAAGGGCAAAUUUGCUCUCUCUUCUGCAGCUGGAACAUCCAUCUUUUUCCCCCAUCUUCAGACAUCAGAACUCUAGAUUUUCUGGCCUUCAGACUCCAGACUUGCUCCAGCACCCUCUGAGCCCCAUUCUCCUCUCAUUCCCAGGCCUUCUGCUUCAAAUUGAGGCUGACAACAUUGACUCUCCUGGUUCUCAGACCUCUGGAUAUGAGACCUCUGGCGCAACUCACCCCUGGCUUGCACCAAACAUUCUUAAAAUGUUUAUUGGGGUCAGGUGCAAUGGCUCGCACCUGCAAUCCCAGCGCUUUGGGAGGCCAAGGCAGGAGGACUGCUUGAGGCCAGGAGUUCAAGACCAGCCUGUACAACAAGCAGUUAAGCGGGCCCGAGACUCUACCAACUUCAAAAACUGUUUCCAAGAUGGCCCUGGGGAUCAUCUCCAUUUUACCUAAUGAAAGGAGAAAGGACAUUGAGAAGAGCAUGAAGAAGAAUGUUAUGGCCAGGAUUGAAAAAGCUACACAUCCCUUGCCGUCUCAUUCUAAUUGUAUAGACAGGAUUUCCACAUGUCGCCCAGGCUGAUCUCAGACUCCUGACCUGGAUCUUCCCACCUCAGCCACUGAACGUGCUGGGAUUACAGUUGAAGGUCUGGAAUGGAAACUCCUAUUGUGAUCUUAAGGGCUGUAACCCAGAGAAUCUGGUUCUUCCUGGAGUAUUUCAGCAGGGAUCAGCUUAAAUAGGUCUACUUGAAGUUCACAACUGCCAAAACCGCGUGUUCAGACUGAAAGGCUGGGAGCAUUUCAGACGCAUUUAUGAACUUCCACCAAGAUGAUCCGGCAGGCUGAAAUCGCAGGGAGAGCGUCUGUUCAACAAACCCUUUCUUCUUGAUUGAAUUAGUGUUACCCACUAACAGGAUGAGGAAUUCCCACUCCACAAGCUGACUUUUUUUCCUCUUUCCACCUCCCGCCU
ensembl:lncRNA LINC01517 long intergenic non-protein coding RNA 1517